GCGGGCAGUUUGACUGGGGCGGUCGCCUCCUAAAAGGUAACGGAGGCGCCCAAAGGUUCCCUCAUCCUGGUUGGUAAUCAGGUGUCGAGUGUAAGUGCACAAGGGAGCUUGACUGUGAGACUGACAGGUCGAGCAGGGACGAAAGUCGGGACUAGUGAUCUGACGGUGGCUUGUGGAUGCGCCGUCACUCAACGGAUAAAAGGUACCUCGGGGAUAACAGGCUGAUCUUGCCCGAGCGCUCACAGCGACGGCAUGGUUUGGCACCUCGAUGUCGGCUCGUCGCAUCCUGGGGCUGGAGUCGGUCCCAAGGGUUGGGCUGUUCGCCCAUUAAAGCGG
rnacentral:rRNA from 13 species